GUGGCAACAGUGGCAGGGUACUGAAAAGGUAAUAGGUAAUGUCUUACUUGUGCACAUGCAUCCUAAAUAAAUACUGCUACAAAAACCUGGUAGUUAACAGUUAAAAGUUAAAACCAAUCACAAAUUUCAUUAUUUGAAAGUAAUAUAAAACAAAACAAGUCGGGAAAAGGAUUUUGAACCCAGGAUAUGAGACACAAUUAAUAUGAGAAUGAGUUUGAAUAAAAAGAACAAGAAAAAAGAGGAUAAAUUUAUACAAAACUGCUGUGAUAUUGUUGAAACUAGCAUUAUUAUGCAUUUGCUGUUUAUAACGGUAGUUUUUGACAUAAUGUAUUUAUGCUUUUCCAUCGAAAUGGCAAGUUAAAAUUGCCAAGUAGCCCAAGCUUUGGCAAGCUAGAAUUAUUUAAAAAAAUUAGUAAAAGAAAUAAAACUUUCGUGAAUCUUACCUGAAAACAAGAAAUAUAAUAAUCCUUUCGACGGAAUUGUUUCAUCUACAAGUAGACUAAAAAGUUAAAACUACAACACAAUUUCCUCGACUGCAAAAAUAUCAAGAUUUUCAGUCGAAACUCGAAAAUUUAAAAUUAAUAUGAUCAAAAUUUGUGCAAAAACCAGGGGGGUGAAGUAUUUUAUUUCAAGCGUAGGAUCGCGGUUGGUCAGUGGUAAUUGCCAUGAGCCGGAGG